GAUGAACGCUAGCGACAGGCCUAACACAUGCAAGUCGAGGGGCAGCAUUUUCAGCUUGCUGGAAGAUGGCGACCGGCGCACGGGUGAGUAACGCGUAUGCAACCUACCUUACACAGGGGGAUAGCCCAGAGAAAUCUGGAUUAAUACCGCAUAAUAAUUUAGAUCCGCAUGGGUUUAUAUUUAAAAUUACGAUGGUGUAAGAUGGGCAUGCGUAACAUUAGCUAGUUGGUAAGGUAACGGCUUACCAAGGCAAUGAUGUUUAGGGGGUCUGAGAGGAUAGUCCCCCACACUGGUACUGAGACACGGACCAGACUCCUACGGGAGGCAGCGGUGAGGAAUAUUGGUCAAUGGACGCAAGCCUGAACCAGCCAUGUCGCGUGCAGGAUGACGGCCCUACGGGUUGUAAACUGCUUUUUUACAGGAAUAAACUCUUCCACGUGUGGGAGACUGAAGGUACUGUAUGAAUAAGGAUCGGCUAACUCCGUGCCAGCAGCCGCGGUAAU
rnacentral:rRNA from 1 species